AUUGAACGCUGGCGGCAGGCCUAACACAUGCAAGUCGAGCGGAUGAAGGGAGCUUGCUCCUGGAUUCAGCGGCGGACGGGUGAGUAAUGCCUAGGAAUCUGCCUGGUAGUGGGGGAUAACGUCCGGAAACGGGCGCUAAUACCGCAUACGUCCUGAGGGAGAAAGUGGGGGAUCUUCGGACCUCACGCUAUCAGAUGAGCCUAGGUCGGAUUAGCUAGUUGGUGGGGUAAAGGCCUACCAAGGCGACGAUCCGUAACUGGUCUGAGAGGAUGAUCAGUCACACUGGAACUGAGACACGGUCCAGAGUCCUACGGGAGGGAGCAGUGGGGAAUAUUGGACAAUGGGCGAAAGCCUUGUCCAGCCAUGCCGCGUGUGUGAAGAAGGUCUUCGGAUUGUAAAGCACGUUAAGUUGGGAGGAAGGGCAGUAAGUUAAUACCUUGCUGUUUUGACGUUACCAACAGAAUAAGCACCGGCUAACUUCGUG
rnacentral:rRNA from 1 species